GAUGAACGCUGGCGGCGUGCCUAAUACAUGCAAGUCGAGCGAACAGACGAGGAGCUUGCUCCUCUGACGUUAGCGGCGGACGGGUGAGUAACACGUGGAUAACCUACCUAUAAGACUGGGAUAACUUCGGGAAACCGGAGCUAAUACCGGAUAAUAUAUUGAACCGCAAGGUUCAAUAGUGAAAGACGGUUUUGCUGUCACUUAUAGAUGGAUCCGCGCCGCAUUAGCUAGUUGGUAAGGUAACGGCUUACCAAGGCAACGAUGCGUAGCCGACCUGAGAGGGUGAUUGGGCACACCGGAACCGAGACACCGUCCCGACUCCUACGGGAGGCAGCAGUUGGGAAUCUUCCGCAAUGGGCGGAAACCUUGCGGAGCAAAGGCGGGGUAGGUAAUAAGGGCCUCGGAUUGUAAAACCUUGGUUUUUGGGAAAGACAAAAUGUGUAGGUACUAUGCACGUCUUGACGGUACCUAAUCAGAAAGCCACGGCUAACUACGUG
rnacentral:rRNA from 1 species